AACGCAACUGGCACUCUUUGGCUUGCUAAAGAGUAUACCUGUUUGAGAAUCAUAAAUAUCAACUUGACUUAAGUUCGAGUCAAAAUUGAGACUUCAUUUGUGAUUUCACAGAUGAGUCUUGAAUUGUAUAAGAAUUCAGGUUUCGGUGUGACCGUGUAUACUGAACAUUGUGGGAUACGAAACUGUAGAAAGCUUUUCUACGGAUCGAAUUUCAUCAUCACAAUGAGUUCAGUAUGAAAGGUGUGACCGGAGCAAUUUUCAACUGAAUACUUCCAAACUAAAUUUUCAAUAUUUGAUCUCAAAUCAGGCAAGACUACCCGCUGAACUUAA
rnacentral:misc_RNA from 1 species